rnacentral:rRNA from 1 species
UACGUAGGGGGCAAGCGUUGUCCGGAUUUAUUGGGCGUAAAGAGCUCGUAGGUGGUUCGGUAAGUCGGAUGUGAAAUCUCCAGGCUCAACCUGGAGGGGUCAUUCGAUACUGCCGUGACUAGAGUUCGGUAGGGGAGUGUGGAAUUCCUGGUGGAGCGGUGAAAUGCGCAGAUAUCAGGAGGAACACCCGUAGCGAAGGCGGCACUCUGGGCCGAUACUGACACUGAGGCACGAAAGUGUGGGGAUCAAACAGG